UCCCAUAACUAGCAGCAGAUACAGCCAAUAUGAACACAUUAUGUCUGUUGAUGUCUCCAAACCACUGAUCACAUGGUCAAUGAUUAAGUCAAAGCUGGACAAAUUUUACAUUCCCAUGUUAAUAGAGACAGAAGUGGUAGAAUCACAUCAGCAAUUAAUUUAGACUAUGAAGAUAUGAUAUAAAGGAAACCCCAUAGCAUGUAACAGUAUGUUCCAUAGAACAUUGAACAGUACCAGUAAACAAUGUUAAAAUAAUUAUAGUAAUUAUGAGUGUUGCACACAUGGGAAAAAAUUGUUUGGAAAGUAAUUAAGACCUCAUGCACAAAGGUUGUCUCAUCUUCCUGGGAGCUUAAGAAAGCAUAUAAAGAUUUCAAUGCUCCUCUGGACAUUUCUCUUGACUUCUUUCUGGACAGCUGGUUUGUCACCAGUUCUCCCAGAUGUCUUCUGGUGGGGUGUGGGACACAGGACAGUGUUCCCAACUCUACGAUGUGCAGUGCCCAAAGCCUCUUGCUACCAGCUGCAAUGACCCUUGUAUUGUAUCCUGCGGCACCUCCAGAGUCAUUAUAUACCCCCCUCCCGUCAUUGUGACAUUCCCAGGGCCAAUCCUCAGCACGUGCCCACAGGAGACAGUAGUGGGAAUUUCUGCAGUCCUGGAGGGAGGUGCCCCAACCCUGCCAACAACUUUAGGAGCAGAAUCCCUGUGCUCAGAGUCACCUGCAGAGAGAUUCAUUCCAAAAUCCAUGCCUCGGUGUGCACCACGGUGCUCCUACGUGUUUUCUUCCCGCUGGAUGCAUCCUUGCAGUAGACCCAGCUACAGAUGCUACCAGCCAUCUGAGAGCGAGAGGGAAGACAAUGCUCCAGAGAAGGAGAAAUCAGAAACUGAAAACACAGAUCCAGCAAGUGAGGACAUAGAGAUCCCAGAAGCAUAACAUAGUGGUACCAAUCCCCAUGACCAAGUCCAAAGGCCUUGCAGACUCCUUCUGCCUCUCCAAAGCAGAUGUACCUGUGUCUUCUUCAAAUCAUGCUUUACCUUAAAUUCAUAGGUUUUUCCUCAACUAUAUUCUCAGGCAGGUAAUUAGAGUAAAAGUUCUCCCUGUUCUACCUUGUGUUAACCUGACCUUUGAAACAUAUAGGAUCUGAUUCUUGAUAACAAAUUGUUCUUUUUCCAUUGCUUUCCAGAAAAAGGAAGGCAGCAGUUGUUUCAAGAACACCACAAAAAUGGUCAAUUAAGAUGUGACAAACCCUUUUACUGCUAAUGCUAAUUAGACUGGUCUUUGCAUUUAAGAGAAUUAGUCACCAGGAAAUCCACUUCUUCCUUUGAUAAAUAUAUACAAACAUGCGCACACACGUCAUUUGUUUCUGGCUUUCAGUUUCACUGUAGGAAAGGAGUGGAAAACAAACUGAUUCCCCUUUAAUUUUAUUUAAGAAAGGAAAAAAACUAUUUGAUGAAAUUAUCACUUGUAUAUAGAAGUCUGAAUGCAGUUUAUGAGUGGCAGAAUCUGCAUCUGGAACUGUGCCCUUUUUGCCGUUAUUUGUUCUAUCAGUUUUGUUCUGUCCUUUCCCUUUGCAUUAAAAUUAUUCUUCAUUAUCAUGGCA